rfam:Aedes albopictus isolate Foshan contig21723, whole genome shotgun sequence.
GGCCAGUUAGCAUAGUGGUUAAGGCUAUGGAUUGCCAAUCCAGAGACGGCGGGGUCGAUUCCCGUUCGGUUCG